UCUCUUGAGCUGGGCUCUGAGCUGCGGCCUCCUUUUCAGCUAUUUCAUCUCCUGGAUAUCCUGAAAGGACCAAGUUAACUCCAUUUUGUUAAAACUAACCCCAUUUUGUUUCAUAGCCUUCAAUUUGCAGCUGCAUACCAAAGGUGAUAGGUAACCUGCUUGCAUACCAAAGGUGAUAGGCAACCUGCUUCCUUCCCCACCCCUGGCUCCAGUAUGUCUGCCCCGAUUGGUAACGGCACCCACCCUCGACCCCAGUAGUAGUAAAUCCUUCCCCAGGCUAAUUAGCCCGUAGGAAACAUUGUCCAGUUCCCUAAGCUCCUAUCAGCUCUCCAGCAGUUCCCCCAACUCCCCCUCCCUUUUUCCUUUCUGUAUCCUUAAAACUGCUCUUCCCUCUGCAGUCGGGGCUUCUCUGCUCUCCUGCUGCAUCAGGAACGAAGAAACCCAAGCCCAAGCUUGUGAAUAAACUACCUCUUGCUUUUGCAUUGGACUUGGUCUUUGGGUGAUUUAUGAGGGGUACCCCGCGUCCUGAGCACAACUAUCCCAAGUGUCUGUGCAGCAGCCUCUGUCACCCUGUGACCUGCAGGUACUGGGAGAUCUGUAGGGAGGACACCAGGACCUCCAGGAGCUGGGAAAUGGUUUUGCUGUCUCUAAGCCAGACCUCAUCACCUGUCUCGAGCAAAGCAAAGAACCCUGGAAGGUGAAGACACAGCCGACACUAGUCAAGCACCCAGCUCUAUCUAAUCAUUCUACCUAAGACCAUUUGCAAGAGCUGAGCACAAAUAUUUUAUUUCCAGAGAUGAUUCUGAGCAGACAUCAAAGCUGUGGCCCUGAGUAUUUAAACUUAACAAAUGAAUGGGAAGGUGUGUAUGAGUGUAAGCAGCAGAAAGUAUGUUACAGUGGACAUGACUAAUGUUUAACAGCUAUCCAUAGCAUAGUUUUUCAAUGUAUUAAAGGUUUGAAUGUCUUCAGACAGUUUUCAAAUCUAAAUAGACAUAAGAUGAUAUAUGCCUUAGAGAAAACAUUUAAAUGUAAAAGGUAUGGGAAAUCCUCUAAGCUCUGCUCACACAUCACAGAACAUAAGGUAACAAAUACUGGAGAAAAGCAAAACAAAUGUAAAGAAGGUAGCCAAGUCUUCCAAUCAUGCUCAAGACUCCAUACUGGAGAGGAACUCAACAAGUAUGAAAAUGAUGGCAAAUGUCUAAGGCAUAGAUCAAAGUACUUUAACCAUAAGAUUUUGAAUACUGAAGAAAAAUCCUACAAAUAUAAGGAAUGUGACAAACUUACCAAGAAGUACUCACACAUUUACAGCCAUAAAAGAAUUCAUUCCAGAGAGACACACUAUGAAUGUCAAGACUGUGGCAAAGCCUUUAACCAGUACUCAACCUUCUCUGUACAUCAAACAAUUCACUCUGGAGAGAAACCCUACAAAUGUCAAGAAUGUGGAAAAGCCUUUAAACCAUACUCAAGCCUUUUGGUACAUCAUAGAAUUCAUUCUGGAUAGAAACUCUACAAAUGUCAAGAAUGUGGCAACGCCUUUUACCAGUACUCAAGCCUUUUUGUAUGUCUAAGAAUUCACUCUGGAAGGAAAUCCAACAAAUGUCAAGAAUAUGCCAAAACCUUUGACCAGUCCUCAAGCCUUGCUGUACAUAAAAGAAUUUGCUUUGGGUUGCAACCAUACAGAUGCCAAGAAUGUGGCAAAGCCUUUAACCUCAAAGGCUUUAACUCAAGCCUUUCUUUACAUCAUAGAAUUCACUCUGGAGAGAAAUACUACAAAUGUCAAGAAUGUGGCAAAGGUGCUGCCUCUGGCUCAAAGGAGUAGGGCACCGGCUUCAUAUUCUGGAGGUGGUGGGUUCAAACCCAGCCCCGGCCAAAAACUGCAAAAAAAUAAAAAUAAACAAAUGAAAGGAAAUAAAUAUUAUCAAAAAAAUUAAGAAUGUGGCAAAAUUGUUUUAUUUAUUUUUUAUUUUUUUGCAUUUUUUUCGCAGGGGGCUGGGUUUGAACCCCCCACCUAUGGCAUAUGGGGCUGGAGUCCUACUCCUUUGAGCCACAGGUGCCACCAAUGGAAAAACUGUUAACAGUACACAAGUCUUUCUAUACAUCAAAGAAUUCACUCUGGAGAGAUACCCUACAUAAGUAAAGAAUGUGGCAAAUCCUUUACUCAAAUUCUUCAUACCUUUCUGAACAGCAAAGAAAGAAUUAUGGUUAGAAACCAUACAAAUGUCAAGAAUGUGGCAAAGGCUUUAACUGGUACUCAUGACUUUCUGAACAUCAAAGAAUUUACUCUGGACAUAAAACUUACAAAUUUAAAAAAUGUGUUAAAGCCUUUUAAGAUAGGUCAACUACUAGUACACAUGAAAGAAUUUGUUGUGGAGAGAAAUUCUACAAAGGACAAAAAUGUGCCAAAGCCCCUAAUUCAUUUGUGAACCUUUCUAGACAUUUAUGAAUUUAUUCUGGAGAGAAACUUUAUAAAUAUGGACAGUGGGCAAACUGUAACUCACAUUCAAUCCUCACUGUACAUAGAAGAAAUCACACAGGAAAGAAACCCUCCAUAUGGAGACUGUGGCAAUACCUUUACCUGGUGUUCAUAGCAUGCUAAGCAUAAAAUAAUUCAAACUGGUGAGAAAUUCUACAAAUGUAAACAGUAUGGCAAUGACUUUAACCAGAGCUCAAACCUUUCUACAUGUAAGAACAUUCAUAUUGGAGAAAAACCUUACAAAUAUGAAUAAUGUGGCAAAGGUUUUCAGUGGCCCUCAGUCUUAUUUAACAUAAGAGAAAUCAUAGCAGAGAUAAAUGGCAACGAUGUGAAGAUGUGGCAAAGCCUCAUUCCAGUAGGCACUGUUUUCUGUACACAACAGAUUUCAUGUUGUGAAAUCUGAAGAUUGUGAAGAGAUUGUGAAAGAUUGUGAAAGACUGUGAAAAUGUGAAGAGAUUGACAGUGGUUUAAUCCUUAAACCAUUGUAUAAAUAAAAAAUUUAUAACACAGAAAUUCCCUACAAAUGAGAAGUAUCAAAUCAUAUAACCAGUACUCAUUUCAGUACAUAAACGAAUUCAUAGAGAAAUACUACAUAUGUUAAGACUGUGACAAUAUCGGGUGGUGCCUGUGGCUCAGUAAGUAGGGCGCUGGCCCCAUAUAGCAAGGGUGGUGGGUUCAAACCCAGCCCUGGCCAAAUGCAAACAAAAAAUAGCCAGGCAUUGUGGCAGGUGCGUGUAGUCCCAGAUACUGGGGAGGCUAAGGCAAGAGAAUCACCUAAGUCCAGGAGUUGGAGGUUGCUUUGACACGGCACUCUACCAAGGGUGAUAAAGUGAGUCUAUGUCUCCAGAAAAAAAAAGAGUGUGACAGUAUUUUUAAAUAUAUCUCGUGCUUUUCCAAUCCUAAUUUAAAUUGAAGAAAUACUGUACAAAUGUCUGUCCUGUCUCAGAGCCUUAAAGUUGUGUUUAUCCUGUAGGUAGGGAUAAGGAGAGACUGGGGCAGAUGAUACUAGGAGAUCCUUUGUCCAUAGUUUCAGAGGAACAAAUUGAGCAGCAGGGACUUCCAAGAAACAAAAGCUGACAUUUCAAGAAGGCUUCCCAAAACUGAACUGAUGUUUGUUCUACAAACAUGAGUCUUAGUGGUAGAGGGGCCACAAUGUGGAGAUAUGGCCAAGGCCACAAAAAAGGGGUCUUUGGAGUGGGCAUACAAGUACGAUGACAGUAGGCUCAAGUGACCAUUUUCAUUAACAUAGUACAAUUUACACCAGUUCUAUCAUACUCGACAACUACAAUGACAAAUAAUGUCCAUUCAUUACAGGGAUAGAAAUUGGAGGACUCUCCAUUCUGGAAGGUUUCCCCAUUUCCAAGAAAUAUGAAUAUUUUACCCCCAUACCACUAACUUUGAAUUGGAAAAUCUGUGUAAGGGGAAACAUCUUGCUAAUCUCAGAGUUUUCUCCACUUGAAAAUGUGCUCCUUCUCUGGAGUGUACAGUCCUUUAUAAAUUUUUUCCAUUUGCACACUUGUAUCUACUUAUUCUGAUCAUUUGUUUCACUGUCUUGGUUGUAAUAACCGUUCUUUGCCACCUGGAACAAAACAAGGGAACACAUACCUCACCUCUGGUCCCCUAAUAUCUGACAUUUUGGUGUUACUAUCUGAGAGGAAAAUAUACAUCUUCAACAAGACAAGCUAAUGGAACAAGAGACAUUCUGAAUUCACUCUGCUGCUGGAUAUUACUUAUUACUCCUCCAUCUCUUUGGCUGUCUUCACUUCCAGGUAACGUAGCUCCUUACCUGCCCCUGCUUCAUCUGCUUUUUUCUUCCUCACCUUGACAAUGCACUUCAUCUACCAGUUAGUGCUGAUAUUCAAAAGCUUAAAAAGGGG